GUUUAUACCGUUGCGUGAAGGGAUGCCACUGUGAAAAUGUCAAAAUGUUUCGGCGCAAGACGAGUGGCGAACGACUCUCAUUCACGUCCUACACUGUUGGAGUCGGCAUUGCUAUUAUCUACAAAUCAUCACUUGCCAAACCUGUCUGCUGCAUUUGACACCAUUGACGACUCUGCUUCUUCAUAGACUACAUACCCUCUAUGGGAUUUCUGGACCUGCAGUAUCCUGGUUCAACUCCUGUCUUACUGAUAGGAUGCAAACUGUGUUUUUUGAUGGUCAAGCAUCUCGCCCUGCUUCACUUUCUUGUGGCAUCCCUCAAGGCUCAGUACACAGCCCACUUCUGUUUAUUCUGUAUAUGAAGCCACUUUCAUCUUGCAUCCAGUCUCACAACAUCAUUCAUCAAUCAUAUGCUGAUGGUACACAGCUGUACUGCUCCACUCCACUGGCUGUCUUGCUCUGCUACCACCACCAUAGAAGUCUGUAUUAAUCAAAUCAAAGACUGGAUGAUGACAAAUUCAAUGAUAAUAAAACGGAAGCCCUCCUAUGUUUGAGAAGAAAUCUAUGUUUUCUGCUGAGUAGUGGGUUUUCCUGGUGAUUUUG